rnacentral:lncRNA from 1 species
UGGUGAUAGAAAUUCCUUUUCAUGUUGUUGUUGUUUUUCUUCUUUUUUUUUUUUUCUUUUUUAAAUCAUUAUGCAAACAUUUCUGCAAUUUGACAGUUCGGUGUUUUUGUGUGUGUGCAUAUAUCAUAUAUAUACAUACAUUUAUCCAUUGUAUGUAUUUCAGUGAAAAUCUAUUAUGUUUAUGAAUGAAUGGAAUGGAUUUUCAUUUGUUUGUUUCUUCUCUUGUUUCAGAAGGGCUGAAGGUCAUACACAUGGCAGAAUCUUCCAACCCUGCCUGCAGGAGCUACUGGUAAAAGCAUUCAGGCAGGGUGAGGUGCAGAGCCUGAGCUUCCACUGGAUGUUGAUGGCUGCGAUACGCUUAUAGAGAAAGUACACUUUAUAAUUGGCAGCAAACAUCAGUGACCUGGCAUGAUUCCUGGCUAUGAAGUGGCUCUUUUUUGGCAGAAGAAAUUUCUGCUCCAGUUCCUGAGUGUUUCCUGGAAGGCAAGAUAGCAUUUAUGGGCUUUGAUACGAAUUUAACUCAUGCAACAAUGCAGAAACUGAUUUUAACUGUGUGAUUGAGGUAACACUUGAAGUUACCCUAGAAGCAUCUAUCUCAAGACCUGCCAAAGAUGUGCUUUUCAGACAUAUGCAGAUGUAAGAAGCUGUGAUUUAAAAGCUUCAUGUGAUAGAAAGUAAUCUUAGAAAUGUGGAUAUAUGUACCUGGUCCUAUCUCAGCUCUCUUUCCUGCCACAACGUUUCUUGUUUUAGUGGUGUUCCCAUUGCUUUACCUAGAAAAUUUCUUCAUCAACUCAUCCUGUACUUCUCAGCCCUGCCAAUAAUCACACUCUGCCUUUCCAUGUGGGCAUUCUGUCAGUGCUGAUGAGUAUUUUGGCUUUAAUAGAAAACUAGACAAUAAAAUAGCAAAAUAUUUUAGGUGCUAUUUUCUGGUCUCAUGUAAUUCCCUAUAUUACUUCUGCUGUGUUAAUAGAGAAUUUUGCAAUCACUUUUUAAACAACGUUCAUGAUUUCUUCCCAGUUUGAUUAUCUGAUGGCUUCUUUGAAAUCACUGUUAAAAUCUGAUCUAUAAAAUAAAAUGAAUAUUGAAAUAUCUUAUCUCCAUGUUGUAGGUAAUAAAAACAUUGUAAAGGUUAGCAACAUUACCUUUAAAUACAGAAUCAAGCAUGUUAAGUGCCUUGGAGUUAAGAUUUUAACUUUAUUAGAUUUAUGGUAAGAAUUAAAAUAUCCUCUCUUGUUACAUUUAUAAAGAUAGAGCUCGUUAGAUGAAGGAAAUUUCUUUUAUCAUUAAUAGGUCACAUAAAUGUGAUAAAAAUGUCUAUGCUUUCCAUAAAUUUUAUUCUUAUUUUAAGCAGUUACCGCAUAUAGAGUUUAUCCUUCAAAACUUUCAAUAGCAUUUUUAUAUCCUCCAAUUGAAAUAAUAAAAAGCAAAGAAUGAAAUGAAGCAAAUUAAUCCUCCCUUGGGAAACAGGGAGACUAGCACUGCCUGAUUUUGAAUUGUGGCAUUGCUUUGCAAAGCUUAAACAUUUUCCUCUCUCUUUCCAUGAUUUAAAUAGGGAAAUGAGUUUCUGUUCUGAAGGAUCUUGGAAUUAAAUGCCAAAAUUGCCUUCUAAGCAACAACCUUGUGUAGGGGACCUGAUACUUCCUUCCCGCUGCAUAGUUUUGUUGGCCAGAACAGGUGACUGGAAGAUGAAAUAAGAGUGUAAGAGUGAGACAGUAAUUUCUUUUCAGAGAUACUAUUUUAACAAUGUAGAAAGGAGGAAAGACAAAACUGGAUCAGGCUCAGGGACCGUGUAGCCUCUUUUCUGAUUCUGAUAGCAACGACUCACAGCCGUGAUUCAAAAGCUCUGUUUUUAUGAAAACUUGGCCAUAUUACAUUGCUUUAUUGAUUCCUGGUCCAGUUUCAUUUGGAGUCACUGCCAAGCUUCCUACUGGAUGUAAAUAAAAGAAGUCAAACCCGGUGUUGUCUGGGCAGCAAUUCACAAGGUCUAAAUCCAGAACACUCGCAAAUUGAGAUAGAAUUUGUUGGUGGUCUGCAGAAAGCAGACUGGUCAAUCUGUGUGGGAUUUAUUUCUGGUUUCUAGCUGCUGUUGUAUGUUUUCAGUCUAUUUGCUGUGAAAUGAAAAAGUUUGGCCGAGUUAUAAAGUUAUCUGGAAACAAGGGGCUAGUGGCAUGUAAGAUAAGGACUGAGAAGACAAUAACCAGACCUACAGUAAGAACUAAAAGUGCUGUGGAAAAGCAAUUUUGUUCAGAGAAGUGAAUAAAGCAAAAGAAUAAAACUGUAAUCACAGGAGAUUCAGCUGAAACAGUGUGGAGGUGUGGAGGCUGAAUGGGUGAAGAAUGGGGGUGAAGAUGGCUGUGAUCUGUGGGAGUGAGUGAACACAUGUGUACCUGUAUGGUAUGCAAGCAAGCAUGAGAGAUGGAGAAAAUAGGAGAUGAGGAAAUGAUUGUAUGACUCUUAUUUUUCUUUUUUUUUUUUUUUUCUCUAAAAGUUAAAAAAUUCCUACCCUUAUUGCAUUUGAAAUCUCUGUAUAUUAUUUUCAGUUAUCUGUCAGAAAACAUUGAUCUUGGGGAAUGAUAUAUUUUGGUGGGGAAAUGAAGCUGUCAGUGACAUAGUAUUUUGAAAAAGUGCAACUGAAGUGCUGGAUCAGGAAGGUACAACUUUAUUUCUAUUUAAAAUGGUGCUUCUGGCUUUGAAUUUAAUGCUGUAGUUAAGCUUGAAACAAAGGUUUUGGCUGGGCAAAAUGAUGGUAUUUGAUGAACAGGAGUUUUUAAAGUCUGACUUUUUAUUAUAGUUGAUUUUUUUUUUUAAAUACUGGAAUUUUGUAACAGAAAACAAGGGUUUUAAAAAUCUGUAUGACUGAUAAUUUUGCCACUUCAGUGACUGCUAUAUCAUCUGCAGAAUAACUGCUGAUAGGUGAGGUGAGAGACCUCCUGCCUACCCCUAGCGUCCCUGCAGUAGGAAAUGCUGCAGCAAAGUCAUCUGUCUCCUCAGAUGUCAGAAUAAGAAUCUGGAUGAAUGGAGAUAAAUGUAAGACUGAUCUUCCUUCAUGAUUAUGUUCAUUCACAUAUGCUGAAGGGAAGCUGCACUUAAAUUCUAAUUUAUCUCUCAGUAUAAUAACUCUUUGUAAAAAGACUUAGAAAUUGGGAAUGUACAGUAUUAACAAAUUGAAAAAAACUUAUCACUGAGCCACAGUACAUCUGAAGAUAAAACUUAUCAUUGAAAUAACUGUCAUUUCUCCAGUGAUGUUCAUGCUACAUUAUAUCAUAGCAUAAAGUCAGCUUUUAAUAUGUAGCUUUUUGGCUUCACAAAAUGUUUUGCAUACUAUUGUGCUUCUGCAGGACAGAAUCUGGAGAAAAUCUUUCUCUCUUGUGCUUGACUAGCCUGUAUAAUCUGACGUAGGAUAAAUGAUCCAUGCCUUGAAAAGAUAAAGCAAGCAGAGGUUUAUUACAAGCCUUUUUUCUCGGGGGAACUGUCUAAACCUUUUACUCUCAAAAGAGGCUUAAUGAGCCUGGCCUUCUCCACACUCUUAGAGCAAUGUGUUUUUAAAAUGUUACGGAAAGUGUAAGGCAGUAAAAUAGUUUUCUUCUCAGUUUGUAGGAUUAAAGCAUGAUAUGAGGAGUAAUCUCUCAUUAAUCACCACCACCUUAAAUGUCUGGACUGAUAGAAGAUAAGUACAAUCACGAAUGCCAGGGGUUGACAGCCUUAUCAAAGGGACUCUGGACUGCAAGUCCAGAAAAGGCCCCUUGGGCUGUGUCUGGUGGAAACAUUUAUUGAAGGACGAUGCAGUAAUUAACAUAGAAGUAAAUACUUUGUUAAGGGUUAUGUGCACUGCAUGAAUCUUGAACAAGAAUGUACCCAUGCCCGUUUGGAUUCUCUGUGAGUGGAUGUGAGGAGGAAAGAGGUGUCAAUGAAAAGUACCAGAGCACAUAGAGCAAUUCCCUCCAGCAUCAUUUGCUCUAUUGUUGGCUUUGGGACUCUGUUAUCUCUGUCAAAACCCUCCCCACAUCUGCUGUUGAGCAACCAUUGGAGAAAUCAAGCAAUAGCAGCACACUUACGAUGGUUAGGAGACUUUGUUUUUGGGGUAAGAUGUUGACAAGUUAGAUUACAUUUUGAUGUGCUGUUGUAAGAUGUAAUAUGGAUCAUAAGAAACUUAUUGUAAUAGCAGGAGACCAGAUUUGGAAUUGGAAACAAGAAUAAGUUCUAAUAGGAAAACAAUUCUUACAGGGGUAAAUAGACAUUUAGGAAAGAUCUUAGAUUGCAGAUGGAUCAAUUUUGGAGUGGUCCCUUUAAUAAAGGUGGAAGAAUUACCUGCACAAAAUAGUAACCAUGCUCACAGUCUGCAGCCAGGAGAAUGAUUCGCUAUUAUUGAGUUUGGAAGAAUAAGAAUCUUUGGCACUAUAGUAGUGAAAAAAUACACUUUGAAAUACAACAGAAUACAUGGAAAGCAUUUUUUAUCAAGGGAACUAGAAAUAAUACACCUGCAAGUAUAAUGAAUGGCAUAAUACUGGCACUGCAUGAGGCACUGAGCAAUUUGUACCACAUUUAUAGGUUCUUUCUUGCUAUUAAUUUGAAAUAAAAUAAACAUUUUUUCCAAAUCUUUGUUAUAUAUCUGGCUCUCAUUUAUUGUUCACCAGCUCCUUUCCUUUAUGUUUUUUCUUUGCCAGCUCUUUCAGUUUCUCUUGUGUUUCUUGUCCACCCGUUUUCUUAGCUGUUUCCCUGGCUUUGCUCCAUCUCCUUAAGUUACCUCCAAAUAAAUAAAUAAAUAAAUAAAUAAAUAAAUAAAUAAAUAAAGUGGGCUUCAUAUCCUGAGCUACAAAAGCACUCAAGCAUGUACCUUGGUUGGGGAUAGAUACUUCACAGGUGGGUUUUCUUUAAAAGCACACUAAGUAGUAAAUAUAAGCCUGUAAGAGACUUGGGUGAUAUGAGGAACACAAGGGAAUUCAGUAAUGUAUUUCAUAUGAUAAAUGGUUACAUUAAAAAAAAAUCUGAAUUAAGAAAUAGAGUCAAUGUAAAGGGAGAAAUUCCUUCCACUAUUUGAAGUUUGUAUUUUAGACUCAUUUUCUUGCUUGAAGCCCUUACCUACUGUUAGCAAUAUUGCUUUAAUUACUCGUCUCUUUUGUUUUGAUAGAGGUUGUGCUUUUAAUUCCUACCGCAGCAAAGAAGCUCAUUGCCUCAGUCCUGAAUUCCUGUUUCUGAUGGAGAUCCAUCUGGAUACUUCUCUGUGCUUGCUGCAUUUCCAUGGUCCCGUAUCCUGCUGGCAGGUUUGUGGAAGCAGUGUUACCAUACACAAUGAAUAUGACAAGAGGCAAUGGUUUAGUUGUGCCGGGAGAGGUUCAGAUUGGAUAUUUGGAAAACUUUAUUCUCAGAAGAGUGGUGAGGUGUUGGAACAGGCUGCCCAGGGAGGUGGUGGAGGUGUUCGUGAUAAAUUCGUGUCGCAUUGAAUGACAUGGUUUAGUGGUACAAUGGUGAUGGGUUGCUGGUUGGACUAGAUUAUCUUGGUGGUAUUUCCAAUCUUAGAGAUUCUGUGAUUCUGCUGUAAAUGUAUCUCUUUCUCUCAUGGUACUACUGUGUAACAGGAAAUGUGAGAAAAUUGCCAGUGUCCAUUCAACCUGAGUCUUGCUAACCCUGGAACUGAGAUGGCAAAGAGAAAGCCUUGUCAGAUACACCAUAGGAUGAGUUUCUAACACAUUGCUGACACACAGCUUGUAAGUACCCAUCAAAAUCAAAAAGCA